CCUACGGGAGGCAGCAGUAGGGAAUAUUGCUCAAUGGGGGAAACCCUGAAGCAGCAACGCCGCGUGGAGGAUGAAGGUUUUCGGAUUGUAAACUCCUUUUGUUAGAGGAGAUAAUGACGGUAUCUAACGAAUAAGCACCGGCUAACUCCGAGCCAGCAGCCGCGGGAAUACGGAGGGUGCAAGCGUUACUCGGAAUCACUGGGCGUAAAGAGCGCGUAGGCGGGAUAGCAAGUCAGAGGUGAAAUCCUAUGGCUUAACCAUAGAACUGCAUUUGAAACUGUUAUUCUAGAGUAUGGGAGAGGUAGGUGGAAUUCUUGGUGUAGGGGUAAAAUCCGUAGAGAUCAAGAGGAAUACUCAUUGCGAAGGCGACCUGCUAGAACAUAACUGACGCUGAUGCGCGAAAGCGUGGGGAGCAAACAGGAUUAGAUACCCGUGUAGUC
rnacentral:rRNA from 1 species